rnacentral:rRNA from 1 species
UACGUAGGGGGCAAGCGUUGUCCGGAUUUAUUGGGCGUAAAGCGCUCGCAGGCGGUCCGAUGCGUCGGGCGUGAAAGACCCCGGCUCAACUGGGGAGGGUCGUGCGAUACGGUCGGACUCGAGGCCAGUAGGGGGACGCGGAAUUCCGGGUGUAGUGGUGGAAUGCGUAGAGAUCCGGAGGAACACCAGCGGCGAAGGCGGCGUCCUGGACUGGUACUGACGCUCAGGAGCGAAAGCGUGGGGAGCGAACAGG